GUACAUGCAAGUCGAGCGAAUGGAUUAAGAGCUUGCUCUUAUGAAGUUAGCGGCGGACGGGUGAGUAACACGUGGGUAACCUGCCCAUAAGACUGGGAUAACUCCGGGAAACCGGGGCUAAUACCGGAUAACAUUUUGAACCGCAUGGUUCGAAAUUGAAAGGCGGCUUCGGCUGUCACUUAUGGAUGGACCCGCGUCGCAUUAGCUAGUUGGUGAGGUAACGGCUCACCAAGGCAACGAUGCGUAGCCGACCUGAGAGGGUGAUCGGCCACACUGGGACUGAGACACGGCCCAGACUCCUACGGGAGGCAGCAGUAGGGAAUCUUCCGCAAUGGACGAAAGUCUGACGGAGCAACGCCGCGUGAGUGAUGAAGGCUUUCGGGUCGUAAAACUCUGUUGUUAGGGAAGAACAAGUGCUAGUUGAAUAAGCUGGCACCUUGACGGUACCUAACCAGAAAGCCACGGCUAACUACGUGCCAGCAGCCGCGGUAAUACGUAGGUGGCAAGCGUUAUCCGGAAUUAUUGGGCGUAAAGCGCGCGCAGUGGUUUCUUAAGUCUGAUGUGAAAGCCCACGGCUCAACCGUGGAGGGUCAUUGGAAACUGGGAGACUUGAGUGCAGAGAGGAAAGUGGAAUUCCAUGUGUAGCGGUGAAAUGCGUAGAGAUAUGGAGAACACCAGUGGCGAAGCGACUUUCUG
rnacentral:rRNA from 1 species